rnacentral:rRNA from 1 species
GACGGAGGAUGCAAGCGUUAUCCGGAAUUAUUGGGCGUAAAGCGUCCGUAGGCGGUUUCAAAAGUCUGUUGUUAAAGCCCACAGCUUAACUGUGGAUCGGCAAUGGAAACUGUGAGACUAGAGAGUGGUAGGGGUAGAGGGAAUUCCUAGUGUAGCGGUGAAAUGCGUGGAUAUUAGGAGGAACACCGAUGGCGAAGGCAGGUUCUUGGACAGAAGGUGACGCUGAGGCGCGAAAGUGUGGGGAGCAAACCGG